UUUAAGGUUUUUCUAGAAACCACCGAUAAAUUUAGUGAGAUCCUGG
rfam:Myotis lucifugus cont2.33130, whole genome shotgun sequence.